rnacentral:lncRNA from 1 species
AUGCUGAACCUAACCAUGUAUUUAGAUUGAUGAUAUUUGGGCCCGGUUAUCAAAUUGGUCCACAGUGAGGUCUAGAGGGUCCAAAAUUGAACUUAAUUUGAUUUCAUCAAAAAUUGAAUUCUUGGGGUUCUUUGAUAUGCUGAAUUUAACCAUGUAUUUAGAUUUUGGAUAUUGGAAUACCACAAAGGGAUGGUAAGAAUUGUCUUUGGGAGUUAUGGCUCAAACCAUUAAGGAAUAAGGUGCAAAAAAGGGGGAAAGGGUUUCCAGGUUAAUGGACAAUUACUUAAAUACAAAAC